GAAACAAGAGAGGAGACAGAGAGGGAGAGUGGGAGAGGUGAAGAGAAGAUUGAGAGCCCUGGGACAGAUCUUUCUCAAACCAGAGCAACCAUAGGGUUCUUUCCUCCGGUGGCCAAAGUUUAUUUGACACAACAAAGUUUUUAAUCAGGCCAGAGAGACUUGCAUUUCUCAUUUGCCUAUUUCCUUGUCUUUUCUUCCGAAGACUUUGCAAGGAAGGAUGGCUUUAGGUCAAAUUGCUAAGGUCUGAUCUUAAAGAUCUAAUUGCUAUCGGAAAAGAAGGCUGUUUCCCAGCUGGGCCUCCACUCGAGAUGGUGCACGGAAGACUGUCCACUCUGCUGAGGGCACCCUGCUGAUGGAUGAGGUGUCAGGCCAGUUCGUCAUGUGAGCACUGGCUUCCAAAUGAUGCAGGCAUUGGGCCCCAUGCCAAAUUUACUGCGACAUUAGCUGAGCAGUUGGGAUCAUCUACAGAGAAGAAUGUCUUGGCAUUUUUCAAGAGCUUAGGGAAACCCACUGGAGAGGAUGCAGAACCUAAGAGCCAGAGGGGAUGGAAGACACCAGGAGAACAAGGCCUUCUACAUCAACUUGAGCACAGUUCAUAUGAACCCAGAGACUGAAAGAGCAAGCACAGGGCCUGCGAAGGUCCACUAUGAUUGAGAAAAUAUUAACCAGACUGUAUGGCCUGAACGUGGCUUUGAUGUCCUCAUUCUUCCUUUCUGAAGAGAAAGGCAUUUGUACCACAGGAACCUGACAGCAAUUGUUCUGAUUCAUGGCUUAGGAGGAGCAGCUGAUUAAUCCCUUGUCAGCAGUCUUGACCCGGUGUGGAAAAUAGAAUCUUCGAAGGCCUACUCACCAAUAUAUCAGGAGCAAGGCAGCAUGGCUUACAUCGCUCUUAAAUUCAAGGAAAGUUUAAGACAAUGCCAAGCAGCAAUCCUGGUCUCAGAAAUGCUUUAUAGGAACAUUUGGACACAGAACAGGAACAUACCAGGGAGAAGAGUUGAACAAUUGUGGCUUUCUUCCCUGGAAUAAAAAUCUUAUAUUUUCGGUCCUCCACAAAAUACUUUUUAAAAAAAAAUCACUAUUUUCUUUAUCAUAACUAUUGUGGUCUGUGUUUUGAUAUGAUAUAACAUGUUUUGGGAAUUUUAAAUCAUUCCAUUUCCUUCCCUCUUCAAUGAGUAUAGACACUAUGAACAUAGAACUCUAAUUUGUACAUUGUAUAAAAUAAUUGCAAAUAACUUCUAUUUCUAGAAUCAUCUUUAUGUGACACAUUCAGCUGUGAAGAAUAUGCAUACUAUAUAGUUUAAAACAGGAAUGUUUCUACUGAAAACCAUUUUAGUUCUUGAAAUGACAAAAGCCUUAAACUGAACACAUUGCUACUUUUAAUCAAGAAAAAAAUAACUUAGUAAUAUAAAAUGUGGUCUCGGAACAUAUGAUUAAAGUACAGAGAUGAAGUGGGAUAAUGUCCCCCCCUUUUUUUUCCAAAGAGGACCAUGUACAUGAAUCCAAUAUUUAUGAAUUUUAUUUACAACCACAAAGCAGACUGAAAAUCUGUCAAAUGAUGUGAAAUCCUAAAAGAUGCAGGGUGUUAAGAGAUGGUGGCCACCAAAGACAAAUCAAGUCUCAAAAUUAAAACUAUGCACAACUAAUAAGCAUACACAUGAAAGAUGAGAGAGAGAGAGAGAGAGAGAGAGAGAGAGAGAGCAUAAGAGACCCAUCUAUGAUAACCAGAGGAAGCUGAAAUGUGUUGAAGCCUUUCCCUUGUAAACUGCAUAAUAGCACUUUCAAUGUUCCCUUUCUGUCAUCCCCUGUAACCAUCAAGUUCGGGUUCUGCUGCUGCAGUCAGGUGCACGGGCACGGAGCUCUUACGGUUGGCUGCAUAGAAUUCUGAGGAAAGCCACAUCUGUACCAUUUUUUUUCUCUUGGACAGUAAUAAAUAACAAUUUGUGUUCAUUUAGAUUUUUUUCCCUGAGUAUAUUUACAGCAAGUUAUUCAGUUUUUUUUUUUUUUCUUAUCCUCUUAAAGCAUAGGUUUAAUUUUGAGUGCAUCUUUCAUUGUGAGAGUGUAAACCUUUGAUCGAGUGGCAUUUGCAUUUCAUUAUAGGGAAGUGCUUUACAUUGUCUUCAUAUGCACCACCCAAUUCCAUGUAUCAUCUUGGUUUGUGCUAGUCACUGUUUAAAACACUGGCUAUUAAGUGUGGCUUUGUGGACAGAAUCUGUAUGUUCUGUGCAGUACAAAACAGAAAAGAACAAGGAAAAAUUCAAAAUGAAUAGGUCAUUUGAAAGAAAUAUAGUAAGUUUUCAUGUGAUUGUUUUCAAUAUAGUAUUCUCGGCAAAAGAAUGCAAGUCAUCAUCUAAAACGUAACAUGUUCAGAUUGGCCGUAUCUCAUCAUUUAUUUCUUUUGUAAAAGAGCAAAUGGGAUGUAUUUUUAGGUGUUUCUUUGUGCAAGUUCCUAGCAAAUCCUGUUGGGAUAGCAUUAGAAAUAAUAAUGAAAUGAGCUGUAGGUAAUGGUAUAACUCUUGGAAAGUUUUUAAAUGUGAGGCUGUGAAAAUGUGUCCUUUGAAGGAUCAGCAAGCCUGUGGCAUUGUCUGUGAAAAUGGAAAGAAUUGAUAAGGCUUCUGUGCUUUUGAUCUUUAUCAGGUUUGCAAUGAUUCCUAUUUUAUAAGGUGACAUAUUUUUAGCCUUGUUGCAGGGAGAAAUGUUCUGUUUUUCCUCAGAAAGCUGGCAGAAAACCAUUUUCCGACCUUGUCUGCUUCAUUUAUCUACAUGUAGAUAUUAAACCUGUCUCAUCUCAAAGGCCCACAAACACCUUGUCAAUAAAGUAGUAAAUUAAACACUGGCAUAAAAACAUUACCCUGUAAAAUUUCUCAUUUGCAGCCGACUAUAUUUGCCACUUUCAGGCAUAGCAUUUUAACAUUUAGUAAAUUUUAAAUAACAUAAGAUUUAUUUUAUUGAGAAACAAUUCAACAUUGAAUAAUGUCAUUUAUUUUAUUUUUUAAAGAAUUAUUUCAAUACAGUAUGUAUUUCCUAUGGGUGGGGGAGGACAUCAGGUGCAUUUGCUAGGUUUUACAUGGCAUCUUCUAGGAGGGGUAAGUUUACAUUUUAUACAGUUGUAUUCCCUUUCAUCACCAAUCAAAGCUUAGCGAAAUAUCAGUCACAAAUUUCACAACCGGAGAAUUUGUUUUGCCAUGUUAGACAUAAAAUAUUGGAGACCCUUUCUGUGUUCUUCCAGCUUUUCUUCAUAUCCUUGGUAAGGCAGCAUGUAGUAGCUCUGAAACAGGAGAUGUUUCUUUGGUAUUACUACUUGGAAGAGCUGUUUGCAAGCUUAUUUGCUUCCAUGUUAUGUUCAUAAGCAGGAAAAUAUAAUUUAUUUCUGCAUAUCUGCUAUCCCGGACAAAUCAAGGUGACAAUCCGUGGUUAGCUCUGUCAGGCCCUUUGUCCUAGCGCUGCUGUGAAUGGAAGUACAAUGGGAGCAAAGUGAAUAUAUAACAGUCCAGCUGCCUUGUUGUGACAGCCCUGUCCCUCCAUAGCAGUGUGUCAGUUCAUGUUUGUGUACCAGUAGCCAGUUCAUAUGAUGACAAUGCAAAUUGUCUGAGAAGUCUCCUAGCAGAUAACAAAUUAAGCUGGGGCUUGAGGUGUAGGGAGGAGAGGAAAGGGGAGCUUGGGCACAUGUCUUUGGAAAAUAAUGACCCGUAAAAGGUUAUAUUUUGGUACAGUGAUUAUAUUUCAUCGCAGGACCGUUAUCCCAAUUUUGGCAAGUGUCUCAAAGACGCAGGUAGGCGCUUACACUUAAAUCGAUCAUACCAUUUCUGUGUGCAAGGUUCGGCAUUAAUGUUGCUUCCUGAGCUGUUUAUAUUUCAUUUACGCAUGCAAUUAAUCAUCUUUACUGUGUUGAUGCUACUGGCGUCAGCAGUGCAACUUAAUUAAAUUUGAAAUUAUAGUACAGUAAAUAUAGGCUUCCAACUAGCCAGGCCAAAUUAAAUGCUGUGGUCUAUUUCUUACCCAUGGUGUUUUCCAAUUUAAGUGUUCAUUUGAAAGGUUACUUUUCAGAUUAAAUUCGUUUUCCUUUUCUGUUUUUUUUUUAUUAUUAUUAUUUAACUGUUGCUAACCUAGAAUAGUUCUCUUUCAACAUGUACUUUGUUCCUCUUUAUCAUAUCUAGCCACAGCUUUAUGAAUAUAAUGUAAUCCAUGGGUAUUGCAUUACCUAUAAUCUUUUUCUCGUCAGAUGUUACAGUUUCUGUAAGAAAUGUUUUUUCCUCCUGAUAAAUUUUCUACUUCUCUAUGAUAUGCCACCUGGGCUGCUUUUAAAAGGCCUCACCUCCAUUUUGUUUCAGGCUGGUAAUCAAGCAAUUAGCCCACAAAAUGGAGGGCCUCAGUCUUCUCUGUAUACCAUCUCUUAGAUUGUUGGUUUUACCUCUGUGAAACCAUAGAGAGAACACUUUACUGCUGAUCCCGUGAAACGGGCUUCUGAAGAAUGACACUUGGUUAGGAGAGACCAACCAUAGCAACUUAAGACUUUUACGUGGUACCAGUAGCGAACCAUCCUAUAAGCAAGACAUGCACAGUCCUGGUCUUACUGAUGAGAGUAAAGUUUAAGCUGCUUAUUCAAACAAUCCAAAGAUAAAGCUUAAAAGUAUAAAACACAGCUGACAUAAUUUCUUUAAAUGUUUAUUGUUUUCUGCAGUACACUGUUCUCCAAACAAUUCCUUCCAUGUCUAGCAAGGUGUGUGAAUAGAAAUCCCAUCACACUCCCCAUUAUGCAUACAACGCAGGGUUUGAAUCCUGAAAAAUUUGCCUGUAAAGUGCAGCAUAAGACUUGCGUGUAAAACGCACAUGCUUUUUUCUUUUUCUUUUUCUUUUUUUUUUUUAAUGCAGCGCUGCCAUGUCUGCACUUUUUGAAAUUGCAUAUUUAUCAGUUCAUGAAUUAUUCAUGAAAUUGGAAAAUGCUGGGGAGGGGGCUGUGCUAGGAGGAAGAAAAAGAACACACACACACACACACACACACACACACACAGGCACGCACACACAAUACAUAUAUGCUUGAAAUACUCGCGAGGUGCUUUUCACCUGUAUUCUAGCGAUUCUGCUAAAGACAGCUGCAGUUUGAAUUUUUAUUCCUGUGGGUUGCCUUUGUAUUCAAUAUUGUAUAUUUCUGACAUGCAAGAAUUAUUUUACUAUGUUAUCUGUAUGCUAUAGGGGAGAUUUGAAGAGUACAGUUUGUUUAAAAUUAAGGGUAAUAGGGACUACAAUGAGUGGUAUGUAUCAAAAACUUCUAAAGUGUGGAGUAUUUAAUAAAUAUUCAUCUUUCUCUGCCAGCUUUGAUUGUUGUCAAAAAGAGCUGACAGAUUGAGGAUUAAUGAAACAUUUCAUAAAUUAGAAAUGAAACCCUCAGCAGAAUGUCCCAAGUAGGAAGCAGACAUGGCUUAAGCUAGAGAUUCAUUCGGCUUGUGAAGGAAGCCAUUCUCAAAUGCAGCAUUUUCUCUGAGCUUGGGAAAAAAAUACACUUCUCGUGUGUGCUGACUGAGAGCAGAUAUCCAGCUUCUCCUUAAAUAAAUCAAUGUUUUCUACAUUUAAAGGCAGGUUGAUAAUUUUUCUUAUUUUAAUAAUAAUAAUAAUAGAUAGAUAGAUAGAUAGAUCAACAGCAACAAGCCAGAAAUGACAUGUAUAGUCUAUUAAUGAGAAGAAGCAUUUUUUAAGGUCAGGCAACGGCAAAUGCAAUGCAAGGUUAUAAGUGCUUCACCGGUGCUUUGUUGGGUGUUAUCUGUGUUUGCUGCAAAUACACCGGGUUUUUAAGAUUAAAGUCAGUCAUAUUUAAGAGCACACCUAUCUUUGUACUAUCCUCCACAAUACAACCUUUUGAUAGGAAACAAAACCCCCCAGUCUAGCCCUCCCUGUUAAAUAAAAGCAGAUAGCCUGUGAUAGAAAUUAUAAAAGUCCUCUUACAAUUUCAUAAGCUACUCACAGCUGCGUGUUAGCCUACAACAAAAGGUAGGGUAUUUUGAUCCAUACAUUCUGGAAACAAACAAACAAACAACCUAGCCAAAAAUAUGCUAAAAAGGAAAAAACUGUACCUAUGUAUUAUGCAUAAAGUGCUAUGUUUAAAAUUUGAAAAUCCAGACGUCGCAAUUUUAGGUUAAAGUUGAGGCUGUAACUUCCCUUUCUUUCUUCAUUGCUCCAUUCAUUUGUAUCUAUCACCUAUUCUCCAGGUUUGCUCUGAAUCAACACUUACCUGAAGUUCCUUCUCCCUACCAGCUAGAGAUAUAGAAUUUAAAAGUGGGCUAGUAGAGUGUAUAAAAACGUUUAGCCUAAUCACUCCCUAAUGACAGCGACUUAUGUCCUCAGUGCAGUCGAUUUGUUUCCUGGGUUUUAAACGUAGAUUAUUUCCACGGUGCAGGCUUAGUGUAAGCUGCUGAGAAACCACAAGCACCGCACUUCAGCCUGAGUUUGGGAAAUCCGCCAAGGGUAAUCUGAUUAAAAGGGCAUUUUUUUACAUCAUGGUGCUGCUUCAGAAACUGCACAGCCCAACAGCAUGAGUUGACUGAGGACUAAACAAAUAAAUUAAAAAAAAUGUUUUCUGGACACUACCUAGUUUUUUUGCUCAGAAUUAUAAGCUUGAUGAUUUCCUUCAACCAAAGCGCAAUGGAUAAACAACAUGUGCUUAAUAAUAUAGCUGUGUCCCACGGCAAGUGACUUCUUUGGGGCUUUGACUGAAUCACUUUUGCUCCUAUGAACUUGUAUCCUCCAUGUACCACUCCUGCUCUAUGGCUGAGAAUGAAAACACAUAUUUCUAGUUGAGUUCUGAUGUUGGCCUACACGAAUAGGCACAGUGCUCUGUUCUGAGGAGCAGUCACUUGCGGUUUUCCCUGAGAAUCAGAAAGUUAUGGUUGCUUGAGAAGUUUAGCAGCUGCGAGUUGUUAAAAGGUAAUUAUCAUGUCUUAAAUCUUUGGUGGCUUUUGAAGGAUAGAACAUAAUACUAAUUAAAUAUGUCAUGUUUACACACAGCAAAAUACAAUCAAAAGAGCCUUUCUUGCCUCAUUUUUGAGGCAUUUCCAUCCUAUCCCAUGGUAUCUACCUGUGCAACUAAAGACAUUAUUAAAAUGGCUCACAUUGUCCUUAUAACCUUUGACAAUGGGGAACAGAAAGCGUAUUCGACUCCUUAUCAUGUAAAUAGAACAUUGUUACAUUCUUCCAAUGUUUGCACAGAUUGACUGCAAAAAAAUAUUUGUUUUGAGUCACUUCUUCACAGGGCACUUGUGUAAUGAAUCAUAUUCACCUCUUGUUUAUUGGAGGACAAUUUAACUUUUUCUGUCUUCUCAGUAACAAAUCAAAGAUUUUAAAAUAAAUGAAACAUUGUAACCUGAGACCAUGACUUCUCUCUGAAGGGAACAACAAAAUAUAUUUUCAUUCUAAGUGCUAAGCUUGGACAAAUGUGCCAAAGCCAGGGAAACUAUUGUCUAUGUAUCAGUCCUUGUCCAGCCCUUUUCCUCACAAGGAGCAACUUACUAGAACAACUGAACCUCACCCCUAGCCUGAAACCAAAGCUCAGCAGUCCAAGAUGAUGCAAAAGUGUUCCUUUACCAAACAGGGUGGAUGCUGAUAAACUAAAUGGUUUUUCUUUUUACAUAAAUAUUCCUUCCUCCAAGGGUCAAUCACAAGUUUAUCUUGUAAAAAUAAAACUUUGCCCAGGAGAGGACACAUUUUCAUGCAUGUAUUCACUUAUUAAAGUGCCCUUAUUACCUAGCAUGCCUUCUUAUGAUGGAACACUAUUUUAAAACAUGUUUAAUUAUCCUGAAUGAUACACUGUGAACUCAGUGGUCUUCCUGACAAUAAAUUCUCACACACAUUUUUCUCACUAAAUGUUUAAAAAACGGUGGCUGAAACAAAAUAGUGGAUUUCCUAGAAUUCACUUUAUAACUUAAGGGAUCACAGAGUGAGAAAAAAUAUGCAAAAAUCUCCACUGAAAAAAGAAACCCCGUGCUACUGCACACAGAAUCUGGGCGUCUGCAAGUGGUCAUUAAGGAUUAUAGGUUGUUGGUUUUUUUUUUUUUUUUUUUUUCCUAUUGAACUACCAGGAAACAUUGUGUCAGAGUGGCUCCAGAGGUAUGUGAUAGAGGAGGUUCAAUGUCAAAAUAUGAUGUUACUAUAAGACAGGGGUGAUAUUGCAUCAUAACAAAACCUCUCUCUGUGGCUGUAAGAUUGUCAAUAUGGAAUCAGAGUACAUUUUAUCGUCUUUCUUCCUCCUGCAGAACAGCAUGGCUAAUUUGACUCAUGCACAUUGAUAUGAAUGGCCCAGCAUUAUAUAAUUGAAGGUUUUUGUUUUUGUUUUUUUCUAAUGUCAGCACCAUUGUCAGCUUGUAGGGCAGAAAUACUGCUCCAGGGUGCCAAAGAACCCAAAAACAUAUCCCUGUGACCCGAGACAAAAGGAAAUGGCUUGAUUCUGGUUGGGGUAUAAGCAAAAGUGGAGAGGUAUAGCUUCUUUUUCUGCAUUAGGCAUUUUAUUUUAGAAGCCAUCCUUUGAAAACCUUCUUGGAAAAAAAUUGGCUAUGAAAGGCUAUAACUCUAUAUAUCUUUGUCACCCCUUUGUAGCACUAUUUAAUGAUUGUGAACCAAUUUUUCCCUUUGAAGUUUAAUGACAUAUAUUUUUAAUUUAGGUUUGAGAUAUUGCUUUAAGAUUUUUUUUUAAAUUUUGUGCCACUUAAAAAGACAUAUUCACAUCAGGAAGAUGUCCUGCUGUUCUAGGGAGGGGAGGGGACAACCAUUAAAAAAAUCUUGAUAAUCAAGGCCACCUGUGAUCCUGGGCUGCUUUCUGGAGCACAAAGACAUAGAGAAAAGCCGUGCUCCAAACCAGAGCAAAUUUCUCUGAUCCACAAGACAGUUCAGCCUCUUCCCAUUAAGAGGAAAGAAAGCCUUGCCACUGCAGGAUCAGCUGCUCUCUGUUCCUUCCUUGGGAAAAAAAAUGAGGUGGUUUCUAUUUAACAAAAAGUCCCAUGACCUUAGUACAGUGGCUGCUUUGAAACACCAAUCUAUUUAAUGAUGCAAAUUACAAACAGAGGGAAAACAUCAGAAGAAUCUGUCUGGAAAUUAGCUUGUUUGACUGAAAAUUAGCAAGCUUAAUCGAACUUGCAGGAUUCAGAUGUUCUCUGCAGAAGCAUGGUGUGGGGCUGUGGGUCAGUUUCCGUGAUUUCAGUACUGAAUAGAUCCUCCGGGAACAUUGAAACUGAUAGAGGAAAGCUGGGUUAUAUCUGGACACUCUUAAUAAACAAAUUAUUUAGUGGAUGUUUAUUAUACACCUUAUAUUUCUAAAGAAACACUCAUGUGAUAAGUCUGUGUGUAGUCAACAUAGAGAAUGUAAGCUAAGUUACUGGUAUAUUUAAUACUUCUUACAAUGAUGAUUGUAAUUCUUCUUUGGGAUUAUAGGGUAACUCUAUGUCACCUGUGUAGGCGCAGGAGUUUAUUUUGCUUUGGUUUAAGGAUAUGCUAUGGAGGCAGUGUGAUCCAGUUCAUGCAGAGAGAACCCUUGUAAAUACUGAAUCUAGUCAAAGACUUCAAAGACUACUUAAAACACAAGACUACCAUAGUCAUGAAUAAUUCUGAAGGUCAAACAUUUGUGCCAUGUAGAGAUGACAGUAUCAGGUCAUGAAGACCUGUAUUAAAACAGUGAUUCUAAAAUUAAGAAAAAGAUUCAAUCACAUUAAAGCAGUACUUUUACUUUCUGAGGGCUGCAAAUAAGCCCUUAGGAAGGACUUUGAGCAGCUUUAGAAAUAUUUGUGAUUUCAUAUUUUUAUAGAUUAAUAGGGUGACUACACUUGUCUGUUUAUAAUAUCAGAGCAGAAGUCCUUAACCAUUUGUGGAAUACACCUUCUGCUGCAUGCCUAAUCAUGCAAUCUAACUAUGUAUCUGACAAAAAAAAAAAAAAAAAAAAAGGGCACAGAAAUAAAUGGUGAUAGUCACUGCACCAGGAGCAUUAGUCUCAACUCAAUUGCUAAAUGUUAAGUGUAUAAUAAACACAUAAAGUAGCUUUCUGUCCUAUAAAAAAUAAAAACUUUAACUGGAGAAAUAUAGUAGUUUGCAAUAGAAAUAGGAAUCCCUUCUAAUGAAUAUACAGAGUGGAAAGGAAUUUACUACUAGUGUUUGUGUAUCACAGUAAAAUAAUACUGAUUAUUUUAGGCAGAUCAUGUCAAAAAGAAAUAGUGAAUACCUUUAUGAUUUAAAGAUUUUAAACAGUAGAUUGCAUUAUUAUUUGUUAUCAUAGAGUUUAAGUUUUAAUGAAAAUUGCUGGUAUUAUUUCUGAAGUUUCUAUUGAUAAAUCUGACACUUCAUAAAUAUGUCAAAUUUAGUUAUUGGGUACAUAUUGUAAUUUCUAACUUUUCAUGAAAAACAUAAUUUAUUUUUGAAGCUAGUUUAAAACAUACAUGAUUAUUUUAUAGUGUCAUCUCCAUUAAGUUUUUAAAAAUAUAUGUUUUGGUGAUGAAAUAGAUUUGAUGUUGGCACAGAAUGCCAAUAUCAAUAGCACAAUAUAUCCUACUUAUUUAAUAGUGAUAUUCCAUUCCAUCAGUUAGAUGUAUUGUAAUUCUCUACUUGAGCCUUUUUUGCAAAAUAUGUAAUAGAUACUAUUCAGUGUUCUACUAUGCUUUGAAUAAAAUUCAUUGGCUAUCAUUAAAUGCUUAAAAAAUAUAUUUUCAAAUUAAUGUGCAUAACUUAUCUAUCAAACCAUGUUAUUGAUUUCUGCAGUCUUUGUUUAGCUUGCAUUUAACAUUUUGUUCAUUUACUUAACCAAUGUCUUUAAAUUGAUGGAGAACCAAGAGAACAAGGGUUCUCAAAGAAAUAGGUUUUAAAACUGUUACUAUGAAGUCAGUGCCUCCCUCUUCUGUAUACACUGUCUUGUUUGUCAGAACAAAACACCAGUGACAUUUGGUUCAAUUUUGUUAUAAACUUGAUAAACAUCUAGUAUAAAAGCAGUUGUUUAAUUAUUCUUUGUCAGUUGUGGAAAUACAUUCCACAAUAAGAAUUUUUUCUUUCCCUUUCUUUGAUAGGUAUCAGCAUUCCUAGUGACACUCAGACUUCGUACUUAAUACUACACAAUUUUAAUUUCGGGAUCUGAACAAUUUUCUGCAACUAUCCCACCUCCAGAUAGAAAUUACCUCAGAUUCUUCAUCUCCCUUCCUUCCCGACAAUUUCCUCUAGGCUCUCUUGCAGUUUUGUCCAUUGUUAGGGACUGACAAGUAGCUCACUGUUCAUGCUGCCUGCAUUUAGCUAUUGUUUCAAGCUUAAGUUUUCUCAUCCCUGGGGUGGGAGACGCUUAAAGCUUAUCAUAAAACGGUUUUGCCAAAGUACAAUAUGGAAUCACACAGACAUUCAUACUAUUUUUCUAUUUGGUUUGCCUUAAUCUUCCCUUCUUGUUUGGUAAAUGAAUCCUCUUAUUCUGUGAUCUGAAAAUAUUGAGUGCAUGAGGUCUAUCUAGCGACUGAGUUAAUUGUAACGCAGAAUAUAUUUACACAAUAAGCUUUUGAGUUCAUAUAAGUUAUACUGUGAUCCAUAUAAAUAGAUGAUACAAUGUAAUACAUAUGCAAUUAGAACAUGUUCAUAUUAGGAUAUAUUGAUAAUGUACUAAUAUAUGUACAUUAGACUUAUUAAUAUCACUGUAUAUGACAAAUCGAUUUAUUAAUUUGUUUCACUUCAAAUAUGACUUUUGUGAAUUAAAAAUGCAAAUGGCUUGUAGGCAGGAAGUACAUUUUACAGUAUGAAAAAAUAUCUUCAUAGGAGACCAUAAUGGCGAUGAGUUCUUAACUUCCCCUUUGGUUUUGAGUGAAACCUCCUUUGCAGGUGGAAGGUGGGAGGAGGGGCGAGAUCUUUGUGUAAAAUCGCGGUGCUGAUGGAGGCAACCCGCUUUUCUGCUGCAGAUGCACAUCCAUUCUGACACCUUAGGCUGUGGACAGCUCCUCUGCUGAGAAAUAGCGGCUGGCCACAGUUCCUUCGCACCCCUCCCCCAUUUGCUCCUUGCAUGCCAAUGAUCUAGGCUCUGGGUGUCAGCUGCAAUGCCUGACUAUCUGCAGCAGGAGGCUACAAGAAGGACCCACACUGGAUGCACGUUUGGGGGAUCGCUGCCACCCUCUAGGAGAGGGAAGGAAGCAGGGGCGGAAGGCUGAAGAGUAUCUCUUUUCACACCUCCCCAGAUCUCAAGGUCUAAAAUACAGGGGCCUAUAAAGACAAGAAAAUUGUAUUUAAGCACACUACCUUGUUAAAGCAACAAGGCCACUGUGUACCAACUGCCUGUAAGACGUCCCUUGUCAAAGACCUCGUGCCUUUAGAGGAGUCUUUUUGCUUUAUGGAAUAGCUUUUUAAGAAAGUGUCUACUUGUUUACUUAUUCUCCCGUCAUCACUAGGUUGUUUGUGCUGGCGGCACAUUCUGGUCAUUACACAAAGUAAAUAUUAACAACAGGAAUGGAAUGUGGAAUUGCCUUAAGCAUAUGCAAAAUUAAUGCUUUCCUUUCUGCAGGGACAAAGGCAGUUCAAAAUGAAACCUUCCUGAAGUCAGCAUCGUCUUCAUUCUAAAAAUGAAACUUUUGAGUAGUAAUUAGCUAAAAAAGAAAAUACCGAAUAUUGGACAUGUUAAGUCAAAUAAACACUUUAGUCAAAUAAUUUCUAUAUAUUCUGCAAUUUUAACUUUGCAUCCUGUGACUUCCUGAGUAAGAAGUCUUACUUAGUAUUCCCCCGUUUUCAUAGUGUAGAUGUACUCCAAGGCACCAAGCACAUAGAAUGCACUUACACCCUUCAUAAAAAGAUCUGAUUCGAGGCAGGCAGCCAGAGAGAACUUCAAGAAUUUGGCAAAGGCAAGAACAUAUCUUAACCUACCCCAAAAUCUCAUUUUGAACAUGUAAAAUUUCAGUCACUAAAAAAAUAAAAUAAAUUUAAUUAUGUAUAGUUUAGUACAUUCUCCACAGAACUGGUACCAGAAAUAGUUUAAGAACAAACUGUCCUAAGUUUUAUUUUUACUGGAUCUGUAGGUAAAACUGCCAAAACUGUCACUUAAAAGAUGUGUACAAGAUUUUGGAGUCCUCAUUUCUAGUUCAGAACUUUGAAACUAGCAGUCAAAUAUUUGGAUACUCACCUGUUCGGUUGUUCAGAUAAAAAUGCCACGACGGCCCAAAUCAUUUUUUCCUCUAAAUGGAAUCAGAAAAAAUAAUCUAAUAAGAGACAGAAUAGAAGAAAGGCACAACAGCAGGAAGAAGAAGUUACAGUGUGUCUUACUUUGACCCACUUUAGGAGCUUUCCCUUUCUAACAGGCUAUAUUUACACAGACACUAUCAGCAUCUCUUAGAACCUCUAGGCUCAUCGCCUGGAUGGUGCUUGCCAUUGUGGACUCAAUCCACCUCCCCAUUGCUUGAACCAUGGGGUGCAUUAUGUUGGUCUAAUGUUAAUAUAGCAAUCAUAUUAGAAGGGAAAAGAGCUCUUGGAGACCUCCCAUUUCCAAAGGCAUUGGACCCACCUUCCCAUGGCACUGCCCCACACAAAAGGAGCAAGACUGAACAUUUCUUGUUGUUCUCUGUAUUACUUUGGUGGAGAAAGAUCACCAUGGUCUGAUUUAGUGUUUUCAAAUAAGUGUGCCCUCUGUUACUGUUCUCUAUUGAGAGACAACACAGCCCAAGCAGAGAGUUCAGCUUGGCCACUAAUGGAACACAAGCAAGUCUUUGUCAGGCCACAAGUGAUUACUUGAACAAGUGCCAAUGAAGAAACCAAACAUUAGAACUGGGCACUCCAGACCCUCAAGACAAAGGGCCAAUUGACUUGCCUCAUUAGUUUUUGUGCCAAACAUGUAAACACAGUUUCCUCUCUAUCUUUGAUGCUCAAAACAUGCCAGCUUGUUAACAUCUUGGGUGGUACUGUGGUUUAUGAGUCUGUAAAUACUAUAAUGUUGAAUUGGGUACUCUUCUCUCUUUAUUGGAAAAGAGAUUUUUUUCUAUUUUUUUUUAAUAAUAAAAAGAGGAUUUUUCUGGCAGUUUCCAAGACUGUUAUAAGUUUUGACAAAAUGAUCAAAAAUAAGUACAUAUAAAAAAGAAAGAGAAAAAAGAAGAUGUGAGAGAAGAAAGGUGAGGACGAAGGGCUAAGCCAGGGGAAAGGCAGCUGUGUUUUCACUCAGGUCUAUUAUAAAUGUUUACAAAUGAAAGGGAUGCCAAGUGUUGCUGCUCCUUAGGUCAGGCUUAGACCUGCGGCUUACUCUACCAAGAACACCUACAUUAAGAAUUUUACAUCAGAGGUUUAUUGGGUGAGCGAUGCCUUCUCUGUUUAUCUUUACUUGUUUCUCUCUGCGUUGGCGAUUUACCUUUUACACCUGUAUUUUUUUUUCAUAAUUUCUGUCCCUCAUACUUCAUUGUCUACAACUAUGUUGCUCUUUAUGUUGCUUGAUACAAAACACAGAACUCCCAUGAUUAGGCUAACAGGAAACGGGACUGGCUCAGUGGUCAGAUAUUUCUACUUAUGAGUCUUUUAUCCCAUUAAACAGCUAUAUCAACUUCUUCUGUUUAAAAUAAUUUUCACCUAUGGAAAUGGCCACCAUUGAAGUGUUGUGAGCCAAUGUAAAUUAUCUAAAGUAAUUUUCCAUAUCUGUCAAUAUUAGGAUGCAUGUAUUUUACACAUGAAAAAUUUCAUUUGUAACAAUAAACUAUAAAGAUGCAGUUAUAAUAAUACUUGCAAUUAAAAGAAUUGAGGUUAAAAUCCUUAGACUUGGGGCUGGAGAGAUGGCACAGCAGGUAAGAGCACUGACUGAUCUUCCAAAGGUCCUGAGUUCAAAUCCCAGCAACCACAUGGUGGCUCACAACCAUUUGUAAUGAGUCUGAUGCCCUCUUCUGGUGUGUCUGAAGACAGCUACAGUGUACUUAUAUAUGAACUUCAAAUCACGUAGGGACUAAUUGAACAGAUCAGGGGGAACCCAAAAAGAAAAAAGCUAUAUAUCAGUUAAAAAGAGUGCUAUUUGUAUCAAAGUAGAAUAAUCCCAAAUUUAGAUUCUUUUCUGUAUGAAAUGGCAGAGCAUUGAACAUUGUGUAUAUUAAUCUAACAUUUCUAUGAAUGCCUACAUACUUAAAUAUAAAUUCAUAUGCAGAUAUGCAUUUAUGUAAUAUAGUCAUAGUUUAUUUCUGAAUUGAACAGAUAAUUAAGAAUAAAGUUGUACCAUGAAUGGACAACUGGAUUCUCAGAAACAAAUGAGGAGUGAAGCUAUAUUUUGCUAUAUCACCUUUGUACUUUUUGAAAUUUUCUAUCUUUAUAUCCUUUAGUGUAUUGAAAUAAAAUGCCUCAUUUAAACUGUC